rnacentral:rRNA from 11 species
UGCUGGAGGUAUCAGAAGUGCGAAUGCUGACAUAAGUAACGAUAAAGCGGGUGAAAAGCCCGCUCGCCGGAAGACCAAGGGUUCCUGUCCAACGUUAAUCGGGGCAGGGUGAGUCGACCCCUAAGGCGAGGCCGAAAGGCGUAGUCGAUGGGAAACGGGUUAAUAUUCCCGUACUUGGUGUUACUGCGAAGGGGGGACGGAGAAGGCUAUGUUGGCCGGGCGACGGUUGUCCCGGUUUAAGCGUGUAGGUGUGUGUUCCAGGUAAAUCCGGUUCACUUUAACACUGAGGCGUGACGACGAGGCACUACGGUGCUGAAGCAACAAAUGCCCUGCUUCCAGGAAAAGCCUCUAAGCAUCAGGUAACAUCAAAUCGUACCCCAAACCGACACAGGUGGUCAGGUAGAGAAUACCAAGGCGCUUGAGAGAACUCGGGUGAAGGAACUAGGCAAAAUGGUGCCGUAACUUCGGGAGAAGGCACGCUGACACGUAGGUGAAGUGAUUUACUCAUGGAGCUGAAGUCAGUCGAAGAUACCAGCUGGCUGCAACUGUUUAUUAAAAACACAGCACUGUGCAAACACGAAAGUGGACGUAUACGGUGUGACGCCUGCCCGGUGCCGGAAGGUUAAUUGAUGGGGUCAGCGCAAGCGAAGCUCCUGAUCGAAGCCCCGGUAAACGGCGGCCGUAACUAUAACGGUCCUAAGGUAGCGAAAUUCCUUGUCGGGUAAGUUCCGACCUGCACGAAUGGCGUAAUGAUGGCCAGGCUGUCUCCACCCGAGACUCAGUGAAAUUGAACUCGCUGUGAAGAUGCAGUGUACCCGCGGCAAGACGGAAAGACCCCGUGAACCUUUACUAUAGCUUGACACUGAACAUUGAGCCUUGAUGUGUAGGAUAGGUGGGAGGCUUUGAAGUGUGGACGCCAGUCUGCAUGGAGCCGACCUUGAAAUACCACCCUUUAAUGUUUGAUGUUCUAACGUGGACCCGUAAUCCGGGUUGCGGACAGUGUCUGGUGGGUAGUUUGACUGGGGCGGUCUCCUCCUAAAGAGUAACGGAGGAGCACGAAGGUUGGCUAAUCCUGGUCGGACAUCAGGAGGUUAGUGCAAUGGCAUAAGCCAGCUUGACUGCGAGCGUGACGGCGCGAGCAGGUGCGAAAGCAGGUCAUAGUGAUCCGGUGGUUCUGAAUGGAAGGGCCAUCGCUCAACGGAUAAAAGGUACUCCGGGGAUAACAGGCUGAUACCGCCCAAGAGUUCAUAUCGACGGCGGUGUUUGGCACCUCGAUGUCGGCUCAUCACAUCCUGGGGCUGAAGUAGGUCCCAAGGGUAUGGCUGUUCGCCAUUUAAAGUGGUACGCGAGCUGGGUUUAGAACGUCGUGAGACAGUUCGGUCCCUAUCUGCCGUGGGCGCUGGAGAACUGAGGGGGGCUGCUCCUAGUACGAGAGGACCGGAGUGGACGCAUCACUGGUGUUCGGGUUGUCAUGCCAAUGGCACUGCCCGGUAGCUAAAUGCGGAAGAGAUAAGUGCUGAAAGCAUCUAAGCACGAAACUUGCCCCGAGAUGAGUUCUCCCUGAGACUUAGAGUCUCCUGAAGGAACGUUGAAGACGACGACGUUGAUAGGCCGGGUGUGUAAGCGCAGCGAUGCGUUGAGCUAACCGGUACUAAUGAACCGUGAGGCUUAACCUUACAACGCCGAAG